rnacentral:rRNA from 1 species
CCUACGGGAGGCAGCAGUGAGGAAUAUUGGUCAAUGGGCGAGAGCCUGAACCAGCCAAGUCGCGUGAGGGAGUACUGCCCUAUGGGUUGUAAACCUCUUUUGUCGGGGAGCAAAAGCCGGACGUGUCCGGCUGUGAGAGUACCCGAAGAAAAAGCAUCGGCUAACUCCGUGCCAGCAGCCGCGGUAAUACGGAGGAGGCGAGCGUUAUCCGGAUUUAUUGGGGUUAAAGGGUGCGCAGGCGGAUUUUUAAGUCAGCGGUCAAAUCGUGGGGCUCAACCCCAUCCAGCCGUUGAAACUGGGGAUCUAGAGUGUGCGAGAGGUAUGCGGAAUGCGUGGUGUAGCGGUGAAAUGCAUAGAGAUCACGCAGAACCCCGAUUGCGAAGGCAGCAUACCGGUGCACAACUGACGCUCAGGCACGAAAGCGUGGGUAUCGAACAGGAUUAGAUACCCCAGUAGUC